UAUUAAUUUAAUUUUUUUUAACACCACUUAAAAUUUUGUUUCUAAAUGAUUGUUUUUGAAAGUUUUAGAGGAUCAUAGCAAGAAUGAUGUCAUAACCAUAAACUGACUUUAUUUUGGCACAAUGUUUUUUUUUCUUACCAUGCAACAAUGUUAAUUAACAACACGUGAGAAACAAAAGGACAGAGGAUACGAACAUGAAUCUUGGCCGCUGAAUAAAACGAAGCGUUGAGAUCAACAGAAGAAUGGAGUCCGUCGCCGGUGGAGUAGACAGAAGCAGCACCGAUCGCAUCCAUCACCGCCGUAAUAGCUCCGGCGUGCCAAGUUCCAUCAUCUCCCUGAGAAUCACAUGAUCAUCAUCUCUUCAUUCAUAUACUAAAAUUCACCAAUGGUAGAAACAAAAAGGAUUGAAUAUCUUUUUUUAUACCGCGACGCGAUCCGUGACGAGUAGUUUACAUCGUAUGAUUCCUUUUCCGACAUGGAUGAGUUCUAAGCCUUGUAAGAUUAAGACCUCUAUCUCGCUUAAACCGUUUCCUUGCGCCAACGCUUCUAGAUACGUUGUGGUGUUUAGGAUCGUUGAGUCUUCCAUGUUUCGAUCUUCUAUGCGAAUUGAGGAUAAAACUCCGUUGAAUAUAAUAGUAUAGAUUAGUUAUUAUUAA